AACGUAGGAGACAAACGUUAUCCGGAGUUACUGGGCGUAAAGGGCGUGUAGGCGGUCUGUUAAGUCUGGCGUGAAAGCUCUCGGCUAAACCGGGAGAGGUCGUUGGAUACUGGCAGACUAGAGGACGGUAGAGGCGUGUGGAAUUCCGGGUGUAGUGGUGAAAUGCGUAGAGAUCCGGAGGAACACCAGUGGCGAAGGCGACACGCUGGGCCGUACCUGACGCUGAGACGCGAAAGCGUGGGGAGCGAACAGG
rnacentral:rRNA from 1 species